UAGUAUAGUUUAGACUUAAGUCCUGGUUAAUUCCCACUUUAAUAAUGAAUUUUAGUCACAAAUCCCUAGAUAAACCCUAAUUUGUUCUGUUUAAGGUGUCACUGACUCAUACACAGUCCUGGAUCUGUAAUGAUUUGCCAUCUGGAAAUAAAAUAAUCACAAAUAUGCGUCACAGGGACAAAAUUGUAAAAAAAAAAAAAAAAUGAAGCAAAACAAUCCAAAUAUAAAUAUAUAAACUGUGCUCUAGUGAAAUCAGUGAUGUAUCUGUCAUAGGCACUUUUACCAACCAAUAACAACUAGCAGUAUCUUCGCACAAGCUGUUAUAAACUUGAGCUAUGGAUUGACAUAAAAGGUUACUCAAACAUGUGUGAAUGGAACAAAAACAACUCCAGGUAUGUUAUUGAGGAGGUUACCACAUUAUAACAUGCCUGGAAGCUCACAAGCGUCAAUUUUGCAUAAUGUAGGACCUUUAAUUACAAAUCGCGAAUAAAUUAACCUAUCUUAAUAUUAACUUUUCUCCUUCUCCCUCUCCUCCUGCCUCAGAGCCCCGUCCUGUAGCUGGAGGUCCCAGUCUGCUCACGGUGCUGCUGGGGCUGGUCUGUAUGGCUGCCCUCAUGCUCCCGACUCUGGGGGAGCAGGAGUCCUCGGUGCCUGUCUACCUCCACUUAAGUGUUAACAAGAAACUAGUAGCUGCUUAUGUCCUUGGUCUUCUCACUAUGGUCAUCCUCCGCACAUGACGGAGCUGAAGGACCUGUCCUGACACCAGAGGCACAACUGACUGUGGAAAAAUGCAUUAAAUGUACAAAACAACUUGUGUCUGGUUAUAAAAAGACAGUAUAAUAAUAAUAUAAUGAUGUAUAUUCCAGUAUGGUGAAGCGGUCUGCUGAGCUAAAGGAGCUGUCCCCAGGGUUAAAUGGGAGAUUGUGAUGAAAGAGGCCAAGUCAAGUCAAUGGUCUCUGAAACUUGUAUUUUUUAUUGCCAUUAUGUAACAGCGAGGAGUGGGGGAGUUUCAAUGCAAAAUGUGUGUACAGCUAAGCCCAAAAUGGUUCAUAAUUUAUUUUAUGUGUUUUAAACCGCCCUGGCUAUUUUACAUGAUGUUUUUAAAGCAAUGUACACUGUUAUAGUACUGAUUUUACAUCUGCUGUAUGCUCGUUUCCAGCAGAGGGUAGAGUAUAAGAUGCCCAGUCCAUACUGGGUACAUUGUAAAUAGUUCAGUGGGAAGGUGGCUGAGUGAUCAGUGCUCUCACCUCACAACAAGAAGGUUCCAGGUUUGACUCUUGGCCUUGUCUUUGCGGAGUUUGUAUGUUUCUGGGUCAAAUGGAAUUUGACAAUUUUUCCUACAAGGACAAUAAAGUGUACCUUAUAGUUCUAAUACAUAGGAGUCCAAUGAUUUCAAAAAGGAUAAGGAUAAUAUGGGACCUUUAAUACACCUGCUCAGUUGAAUAUCAAACUAUGAAACAAAGAGUCAAUAAAAGGGAAGCAGACAUGUGAAAAUGCUGCCAUUCUGCACCAAUAGUCUCACAAGAUUAUACUAAUUAUUAACUAUAAUUAUUACAAAUGUACAGUAGGUUUUGUAGUCUAUGUUUUGCACAUUUUGGAGAACUAUUUUUGAGGGUAGCUCUCCAGUUCUUUAAUGUCAGAAGGAUUCCUUAGCUCAUCUGUGCUCUGAACUGACUCUGGUUUGUUCUCAGUUCUUGGAUUUGAUUUGGUCUUUGGUUUGGACUCUUGUUUGAUCCACAGUCUAGUUUCUGGCCUGGUUCUUCUUCUGGUGCCUGGUCUGGUCUUUAGUCUAGUCUCUCUCUUCUCUGGACCCUGAUCUUGACUUUGGUCUUGACUUUGGUCUGUUCUAUCAUCUGGAUAUGUGGCACUAUCCUCGUCUCUGGAGUAUUAUUUGGACUCUGAUCUGGUCCCUGGUCUGGUCCCUUGUGUAGUACCUGGUCUUAACUCCAGUCUAGUCUCUGGUCUAGUCUCUGGUCCAGUCUCUAGUCUAGUCUUUUUUCCCAUCUUUAGGUUAUGUUUACAUUUGGGCUUAGUUGUACAUAAACUUUUACAUGUUUGUUCUUGACUAAGUGCAGAGUUUGCAUGUGUGAAUCUGAAUGAGUUUGUCUGUUUUAUUUUUUUGUUUCUGUUUGAAUUUUCACCAAAGUCUUUCUUUUCUCGAGACAACUGUCUGUAUGCCAUAUCCACCUUUCAUCAAAUGUUGAAUAAAGUCUCAAAGUUUGCCAAA